GGUUGUUAUCAUGAUGUACAUCAAACUGUCGUGUUAACCGCACAAAAUGUGACGACGCCUUUCAUUCAAAUCAAGUAUGAUGUUUACUUAUAUUAAAUAAACGCCUUUGAUGGGAAACCUUUCCCACUGACCCCGAGAGGUAAACGAGAUUGCUCGCAUCGUACGAUUGUUGAACGGUGGUAAAUCUUGUGGUGAGAUGAUAGCAGUUCGUGAAUGUUGAAUACAGAAAAAAAAUCUUUAAAUAUUAUGUCGGAUUAGUUAACUCUGCUUCAUGCAGAGAUUUCUAUUGGAUAUGGAAAGAGUGCGGUCGCUUUGUUUACAUCCGUCUGAGCGGAGAUUGUUGGGACGUCGUUCAGGGGAACAUCCAGCUGAACAGAAAGCCUCCCCCAGCCUGGUUCAUAGCAAAACCCCAUCCAGCCGUGAAGAAACAGUGUUCAUUUGUAUGCCGUAUGGAGGGACACCCGGCAAUGUUCAAGGAAACUGCUUUCUGUAUUGUCUACACCACAACGACCUUCUAACACACGCACGGUGUCCGUGUGAGACUUUAUACAUGUAUCGAGACAUGCUGUGGCUUGACAUCGUCAACACUGGUCCUGCGGAACUCCGUCAACACUGGUCCUGCGGAACUCCAAGAUAGAUGAGACACUGAUCUUGUCGGCAGUCUCCUGUGCCGCCAUGUCCUGUGUCCAUGUCCUGUAACUGGCUGUACUAUUUGUGCAACUUCCCAAGUGACUCUCAAUCCUGGUACCAUCGCCCUUCUUCACUUUUAACUUAUAACUCAUCUUGUACACAUCUUGUACUUAUCUUGUACUUAUCUUGUACUCUUCUAUGGAGGAAUAAAAGCAUGUAUAUUA